rnacentral:rRNA from 1 species
UACGUAGGGACCAAGCGUUGUUCGGAUUUACUGGGCGUAAAGGGCGCGUAGGCGGCAAUUCAAGUCAGCUGUGAAAUCUCCGGGCUUAACUCGGAACGGUCAGCUGAUACGGCUUUGCUAGAGUGCAGAAGGGGCAAUCGGAAUUCUUGGUGUAGCGGUGAAAUGCGUAGAUAUCAAGAGGAACACCUGAGGUGAAGACGGGUUGCUGGGCUGACACUGACGCUGAGUGCGCGAAAGCUAGGGUAGCAAACGGG